rnacentral:rRNA from 1 species
GUAGGGAAUAUUGGGCAAUGGAUGCAAGUCUGACCCAGCCAUCCAGCGUGCCGGAAGAAGGCCCUCAGGGUUGUAAACGGCUUUUGACGGUGAAGAAUCGACAGGAUGCGUCCUGUUUUGACGGUAGCCGUUGAAUAAGCACCGGCUAACUCCGUGCCAGCAGCCGCGGUAAUACGGAGGGUGCGAGCGUUGUCCGGAUUUAUUGGGUUUAAAGGGUGCGUAGGCUGGAAGGUCAGUCAGCGGUGAAAAGCUAUCGCUUAACGAUAGUCUUGCCGCAGAUACUUCCGUUCUUGGAUGAGGAGGAGGCCACUGGAACGGAUGGUGUAGCGGUGAAAUGCAUAGAUAUCAUCCAGAACACCGAUUGCGAAGGCAGGUGGCUGUACCUUAAUCGACGCUGAUGCACGAAAGCAUGGGGAGCAAACAGGAUUAGAAACCCGGGUAGUCC